CACGUAGGGCGCAAGCGUUGUCCGGAAUUAUUGGGCGUAAAGAGCUCGUAGGCGGUCUGUUGCGUCCGCUGUGAAAACUCGGGGCUUAACCCCGAGCCUGCAGUGGAUACGGGCAGACUAGAGGUAGGUAGGGGAGAAUGGAAUUCCCGGUGUAGCGGUGAAAUGCGCAGAUAUCGGGAGGAACACCGGUGGCGAAGGCGGCUCUCUGGGCCUUACCUGACGCCGAGGAGCGAAAGCGUGGGGAGCGAACAGG
rnacentral:rRNA from 1 species